AGACGAAAAGGGACUUCUGCAGGCGGUGGCCACAAUUGGCCCAAUUUCUGUCGGAGUGGAUGCCCGGAGUUCGGCAUUUCAGUUUUACAAGUCGGGUAUCUUUAAAAACCCCUGGCGUGGAGACCCCCACUUGGUUCAUGCUAUGCUGGUGGUCGGAUACAACAGCACCAAGUACUGGAUUGUGAAGAACAGUUGGUCUCGCUAUUGGGGGGACAACGGAUACAUGCUCUUGGAACAAGGAUCCAAUCAAUGCGGCAUCACCAACGUGGCUUCCUAUCCCAUUCCAUAACCAGACAAGAGGACCGUUUGAGAAGCAGAACAAAAAAGCUAACUGCGGAAUUGGAAGCUUCUGGAGAACCAGAAAUAUAUAUAUGCUAAAACCAAUAAAUGCUUUUACGCAAUGCUA